rnacentral:rRNA from 1 species
GUCUAUGGCCAUACCACCCUGAACACAGUUGAUCUCCUCUGAUCUCAGAAGCUAAGCAGAGUUGGGCCUGGUUAGUACUUAGUACUUGGGUGGGAGAAGAACAGUAUUACCCUUCACU